GACGAAGGUGGCUAGCGUUGCUCGGAUUUACUGGGCAUAAAGCGCGCGUAGGUGGUCCUGUAAGCGGAGGAUGAAAGCCCAUGGCUCACCCAUGGAACUGUCCUUCGGACUGCAGGGCUGGAGGGCGGGAGGGGAGAAUGGAAUUCCCGGUGUAGCGGUGAAAUGCGUAGAUAUCGGGAGGAACGCCGGUGGCGAAAGCGAUUCUCUGGCCCGUUCCUGACACUGAGGCGCGAAAGCUAGGGGAGCAAACAGGAUUAGAAACCCCCGUAGUCC
rnacentral:rRNA from 1 species